GAUGAACGCUAGCGGGAGGCCUAACACAUGCAAGCCGAGCGGUAUUGUUUCUUCGGAAAUGAGAGAGCGGCGUACGGGUGCGUAACACGUGUGCAACCUGCCUUUAUCUGGGAGAUAGCCUUUCGAAAGGAAGAUUAAUACUCCAUAAUAUAUUGAACGGCAUCGUUUAAUAUUGAAAGCUCCGGCGGAUAGAGAUGGGCACGCGCAAGAUUAGCUAGUUGGUGAGGUAACGGCUCACCAAGGCGAUGAUCUUUAGGGGGCCUGAGAGGGUGAUCCCCCACACUGGUACUGAGACACGGACCAGACUCCUACGGGAGGCAGCAGUGAGGAAUAGUGAUCAAUGGGUGCAAGCCUGAACCAGCCAUCCCGCGUGAAGGACGACUGCCCUAUGGGUUGUAAACUUCUUUUGUAUAGGGAUAAACCUACCCUCGAGAGGGUAGCUGAAGGUACUAUACGAAUAAGCACCGGCUAACUCCGUG
rnacentral:rRNA from 1 species